rnacentral:rRNA from 1 species
AUUGAACGCUGGCGGCAUGCCUUACACAUGCAAGUCGAACGGUAACGCGGGGCAACCUGGCGACGAGUGGCGAACGGGUGAGUAAUGCAUCGGAACGCGCCCAGUAGUGGGGGAUAGCCCGGCGAAAGCCGGAUUAAUACCGCAUACGACCUACGGGUGAAAGCGGGGGACCGUAAGGCCUCGCGCUAUUGGAGCGGCCGAUGCCAGAUUAGGUGGUUGGUGGGGUAAAAGCCUACCAAGCCGACGAUCUGUAGCUGGUCUGAGAGGACGACCAGCCACCCUGGGACUGAGACACGGCCCAGGCUCCUACGGGAGGCAGCAGUGGGGAAUUUUGGACAAUGGGGGCAACCCUGAUCCGGCCAUGCCGCGUGCGGGAAGAAGGCCUUCGGGUUGUAAACCGCUUUUGUCAGGGAAGAAACGCUCUGGGCUAAUACCCCGGGGUAAUGACGGUACCUGAAGAAUAAGCACCGGCUAACUACGUGCCAGCAGCCGCCGCCGUAA